rnacentral:rRNA from 1 species
CUCUCAGUUCGGAUUGGAGUCUGCAACCCGACUCCAUGAAGCUGGAUUCGCUAGUAAUCGCGCAUCAGCCACGGCGCGGUGAAUACGUUCCCGGGCCUUGUACACACCGCCCGUCAAGCCAUGAAAGCCGGGGGUACCUGAAGUGCGUAACCGCAAGGAGCGCCCUAGGGUAAAACUGGUGAUUGGGGCUAAGUCGUAACAAGGUAAC